AACGAACGCUGGCGGCAGGCCUAAUACAUGCAAGUCGAGCGCGCCCUUCGGGGUGAGCGGCGGACGGGUGAGUAACGCGUGGGAAUAUGCCCUUCUCUAAGGAAUAGCCUCUGGAAACGGAGAGUAAUACCUUAUACGCCCUUUGGGGGAAAGAUUUAUCGGAGAAGGAUUAGCCCGCGUUAGAUUAGGUAGUUGGUGGGGUAAUGGCCUACCAAGCCUACGAUCUAUAGCUGGUUUGAGAGGAUGAUCAGCCACACUGGGACUGAGACACGGCCCAGACUCCUACGGGAGGCAGCAGUAGGGAAUCUUAGACAAUGGGGGCAACCCUGAUCUAGCCGUGCCGCGUGUGUGAUGAAGGCCCUAGGGUCGUAAAGCACUUUCGCCAGAGAUGUUAAUGACAGUAUCUGGUAAAGAAACCCCGGCUAACUCCGUGCCAGCAGCCGCGGUAAUACGGAGGGGGUUAGCGUUGUUCGGAAUUACUGGGCGUAAAGCGCACGUAGGCGGAUUAGUAAGUUAGAGGUGAAAUCCCAGGGCUCAACCCUGGAACUGCCUUUAAUACUGCUAGUCUUGAGUUCGAGAGAGGUAAGUGGAAUUCCGAGUGUAGAGGUAAAAUUCGUA
rnacentral:rRNA from 1 species